CAGCAGCCGCGGUAAUACGAAGGGGGCUAGCGUUGCUCGGAAUGACUGGGCGUAAAGGGCGCGUAGGCGGAAUGCUUCGUCGGGCGUGGAAUUCCAGGGCUUAACCUUGGGGCUGCGUUCGAGACGGGUAUUCUAGAGUGGAGAAGAGGGUCGUGGAACUCCCAGUGUAGAGGUGAAAUUCGUAGAUAUUGGGAAGAACACCAGUGGCGAAGGCGGCGACCUGGUCUUUUACUGACGCUGAGGCGCGAAAGCGUGGGGAGCAAACAGGAUUAGAUACCCCAGUAGUCCCUGUCUCUUAUAC
rnacentral:rRNA from 1 species